CAUCAUCCUCGCCCGGGGAAAGGCGGCGGACAAUCGGGCGGAGUGCUCGGAGUCGGUCGGCGUCGGCAGGUUUUUCGUUCAGGCAAGUAAGUUAGACAGACGCGCUGAGAGCAGCGGGGGCCUUAAUUUGCCUCAACAAAGAUGGCCGCUGUGCCGGAAGUGGCUUCAGCCACAACAAAGAUGGCGGCGAGGAAGGGCGGAAGUGACGUCACGCCACGCACAAGAUGGCUGCCCGAUCGAGGCUGCCUUGACCUCCCAAGGAUGGCGGCCAAAAAGGCGGGAAAAUGGAAGGACCCCGGGCGGUGGGUGCGUGCGAUUGACUGCCUGACAAACACCCCGGCGCCGACGCCGCUCCGGCGCAAUUUUCCGCGGCUUUUCCGGCCGUGCGGACACGGGCUGUGCGCUCGGCGGCGCCGGGGCCGGGCGCCAGCAGGUCGGGCGCCGACAGGCAGCGGUGAAGACGCCUCUCUCUGCCGGGGUCCUUGCCGCGGCCGCGUUCUGGGGCUUCUGGCACUCGCGACGACCCGUACCUCGCCGCCGCUGCUCUCGCUCCGUUCUCUCCCCCUCGGCCCCCCCCCGGGAAAUGGCGGAAACCCCAAUGGCAUCGGGACCGAACGGUCGCUCCCCGGCCCUGGGACCGAAGCAGCCCGAGGAGGCGGCUGCUCUGUGUGUCGGAACGGUGAGAGCGGGGGCCGGGGCUGGGGCAGGUUAUCAACCGAGUAUAUACCUGCAAUCCUCCCCUUGCAGCUGCUGACAGCACUGAAAACCUGUGUGCUUCGUGGUGUCUAUUGCCCAGCUGGCAACGAUUCCCUUGUGUUUGGUGCAUUAAGUCACACUGAGCUGUGUGGGAUGGCAGGAUCUGCCUCAGUUGUGGCUCCCAUCCUUCUGAAGGACUCUUCAGCGCAACCCGUCCGAGCCUGGCGUUCGCUACAGGCCUCCGCGUGGUGGGAGAUGAGUCUAGGAGGAAAUACCUUCAAUCCACAGACGAGGCAGAAAGGACUCAGUACAAGGAGGACUGGACUCAGAUGA
ensembl:lncRNA uncharacterized LOC111942201